CCUUUAUUAUUUUUCCUCUAAAUUCUUAGAAACGUACAUAAUGCCCGUGCUCUAGUUAUGACACCAUUAUAGACGUUUAAAAUGCAUCUUCAUUUAUAAAUAUUUUACAUUUGGUCCAUAGAAUAGAUAAUUUUACUAAAUAAUACUGUAGUUUUUUUUUUAAAACAGGCUCUGUAUAUAGUUUGAAUAUGUAUAUAUUACAUAUUUUUUUUAAUAUAGAGAUAAAUUUACUUAGUGAUCUGAGAAUAAAUCCUUAUUGCAAAAAAGACAGCAUAUAUGAUAAUACAAUAUAUUCCCCCCCAGGGCAAAUACUAAAAAAAGUGACACAUAUUCACAGUUCUCACAGGAAUUGUACGAUGUGUAAUAUUGUGCUAUAUAAGUAGGUUUGGAUGGAAAUCAGUUACGGGAUUUCUUGCCAAACAUCUCACUUAGAUUUGCUUACAAACAUUAAAUACACUGCAUUUGUCUUAGAAAGACUUGGUCUAGUUUCACACUGAAGAACAAAGACACAGUCAGAAGGCUU